GCUGGUAUAGCUCAAUAGGCAGAGCAACUGACUUGUAAUCAGUAGGUUGUCGGUUCAAGUCCGACUAUCAGCUCCA
rnacentral:tRNA from 1 species